AUAAGAGAGAGGCAUCUGAAAAAGGGCUAAAAAAAGCCACAGUACAAAAAUCAGCGUAGCCUUACAUCAGAGAACCCCACCCCCCACGUAUCAUCUUCUUGGAUUCACCCCGAAUGACCCCUGCUGCUUCACCAUUUUUAGCAGCUUGAGACCUCACCCCAACGACCUUUCUCUCUAAAACAAAGCCAGCAGCAACCGGCGUUCACCAGUUCCGCCAUGAACGACCAACCCCAAGAGAAAAGCUAGCCGCUCACACUUCAGCUUCCUCACUUGAGCUGUUGCUUCGCCUGAAUUGACCACCGGCGAGUGGCGACGCCACUAGCAACGGAUCUGGCCAGAAACCCCAAAACACAACCGCGAUUCAGUCACUCAUACAAAAACGAAAAAUAUUCUGGUUUUCUUCUUCCAUUUUUCGGACAUCCGUCUCAAAAUUCAGAGGUGCUGUCCUCUGAUUCUCGUUCCAGAAUGAAGGUCAUUUGAUGUCGUGUAUGGAUUCAACAUUUCUUGUACCGAUUCGAGGAUUCUGUCAAGGUCGUGUUCGAGAGUCCUGUCCGAGCUGAGUUCCGAUCGUGGUUGUGGUUUGUUUCCAUCCGUGUAAUUGCUGGAAUUUUUAUUAACUGAAGGCAAUUUGAGGCGUGGAUUUACUUAUCGGAGUUUGAGCAUGACAGAGUCCCAGGACAUCUAGUCAGGAUAGCUCAUUCAGGAGUGGAUUAAAAGAAGAUUUUUUUUUCUUUUUAUGUUUUGAGUCUGUUUUUUUAUUUUUUUUUUAUUUUAUGUCAUCUUUUACCUUUUAGUUUUGUAUAGUAAUGUCGAGUUUUAUUAUUAUUACUGUACUUUCUAUUUUGCAUUUGAAAGGGUGUGUAAUGAAUCAAAAAUCCAAAAAACAAAUUUUGCGUUUUA